rnacentral:rRNA from 1 species
AUGGGGAUGGACGACCAGCAAAGCUUUCGAGUCGCAAACCUACUUAAUUGUAAGCUUGGGAGCUUUCCAAUAAAGUAUCUGGGGCUUCCUAUUUCUCAUCGCAAACUCUCGAUUUUAGAGUGGGAGCCUCUGUAUGGGAAGGUGGCCAAUAGGGUAAGCCCGUGGCGAGGGCGGUUUAUGUCUUCUGCGGCGAGGCUCAUUUUAACUAAUUCGAGCCUCUCUUCCCUCCCCCUAUUCACUAUGGGGAUGUUCUUACUAGCUGAUGGCGUGCACGCUAAGCUAGAUACACCGCGAUCCCGGUUCUUUUGGGAAGGAACUGGCAUCAAGCGGAAAUAUCACCUGGUAAAGUGGGCGGCUGUUUGUAGGCCAAAAAAAUUUGGAGGACUGGGAGUCCUAAACUCCAAACUAAUGAACGUCGCCCUCCUGUCCAAAUGGUGGUGGCGGCUUGCCCAAAACGAGACGAGUCUCUGGGCUCAGCUGCUAAAAGCCAAGUAUUUCCCGAAUGGGAAUCCCUUCAGUGCCUUGGCCAACGGCUCCGUGUUUUGGAAAGGGAUCCAAGCGGUCCGGCCUGCUUUUGCUAUUGGGGCCAAAUUUCGGAUUAGCAAUGGACAAUCCACUCGGUUUUGGCUGGACCAUUGGCUGGGCGCCUCUCCCCUUUGGCAAAGUCACCCCAAUUUAUUUCGGAUCGCCACUGACAUCAACAUCUUAGUGGGAGAGGCAGCUCGUACUGACCCUCCAGCGAUCCACUUCAUGCGGGCCCUUUCCACCGCCGAACGGGAGGCAUGGGACGAUCUAGUGCAACAAAUUGGUGCCAAACGUUUAGGGCCGGGCGAGGAUUCGGUAGAAUGGAGCUUGACAGCGUCCCGGAAAUUCUCGGUUAAAUCCUUAUACAACAAGCUUACUGAAGGGACAGCGCUUGAUAUAGCUAGGGGGCUGUGGAAGGCAGGGCUGCCCUUGAAAAUUAAAAUCUUCAUGUGGCAAAUGCUCAGGAAUAGGCUGCCCACGUCGGAUAAUGUGGCCAAACGUAACGGUCCGGCUGAUGGUACUUGCACUGUGUGCGGUCUAGGUGAAGAUGCAAACCACGUCUUUUUUAGAUGCCACCUAGCCAGGUUCGCGUGGAGUGCAGUUAGGGAAGCCUUCCACUCGAACUGGAACCCAGCCUCGGGGAAUGACUUGAUAUCCAUCCUCAAAACCACGAGAGGGACCAGUAGUAGAAUCGCUUGGCGUUGCGUAGGGGCGCUACUCUGGGCUAUUUGGACGACGCGCAAUAAAAUUACGAUUGAGAAAAAAAUUCCCUAA